rnacentral:rRNA from 1 species
GAUGAACGCUGGCGGCAGGCUUAACACAUGCAAGUCGAACGCACCGCAAGGUGAGUGGCAGACGGGUGAGUAACACGUGGGGAUCUGCCCAAUGGUACGGAAUAGCUCCGGGAAACUGGAAUUAAUACCGUAUGUGCCCUUCGGGGGAAAGAUUUAUCGCCAUUGGAUGAACCCGCGUCGGAUUAGCUAGUUGGUGAGGUAAAGGCUCACCAAGGCGACGAUCCGUAGCUGGUCUGAGAGGAUGAUCAGCCACACUGGGACUGAGACACGGCCCAGACUCCUACGGGAGGCAGCAGUGGGGAAUAUUGGACAAUGGGCGCAAGCCUGAUCCAGCCAUGCCGCGUGAGUGGUGAAGGCCUUAGGGUUGUAAAGCUCUUUCGCCGACGAAGAUAAUGACGGUAGUCGGAGAAGAAGCCCCGGCUAACUUCGUGCCAGCCGCCGCCGUAACAC